rnacentral:tRNA from 1 species
GGAGAGGUGGCCGAGUUGGCUGAAGGCGCUCGCCUGCUAAGUGAGUAUCCUGGGAAACCGGGAUCCCGGGUUCGAAUCCCGGUCUCUCCGCCA